rfam:Musa acuminata subsp. malaccensis Doubled-haploid Pahang (DH-Pahang) genomic chromosome, chr10
GGUCCCGUAGCUCAGUUGGUUAGUAGCAUCGGUCUUAUGAGCCGAAGGUCGCGGGUUCGAGCCCCGCUGGGACCA